GACGGAGGGGGCUAGCGUUGUUCGGAAUUACUGGGCGUAAAGAGCGCGUAGGCGGUUUAGCAAGUUGGAAGUGAAAGCCCGGGGCUUAACCUCGGAACUGCUUUCAAAACUGUUAAGCUAGAGUAUGGUAGGGGAUGAUGGAAUUCCUAGUGUAGAGGUGAAAUUCUUAGAUAUUAGGAGGAACACCAGUGGCGAAGGCGGUCAUCUGGGCCAUUACUGACGCUGAGGCGCGAAAGCGUGGGGAGCAAACAGG
rnacentral:rRNA from 1 species